GCUGGAAACGGCGUCUAAUACUGGAUAUGUGACGUGACCGCAUGGUCUGCGUCUGGAAAGAAUUUCGGUUGGGGAUGGGCUCGCGGCCUAUCAGCUUGUUGGUGAGGUAAUGGCUCACCAAGGCGUCGACGGGUAGCCGGCCUGAGAGGGUGACCGGCCACACUGGGACUGAGACACGGCCCAGACUCCUACGGGAGGCAGCAGUGGGGAAUAUUGCACAAUGGGCGCAAGCCUGAUGCAGCAACGCCGCGUGAGGGACGACGGCCUUCGGGUUGUAAACCUCUUUUAGCAGGGAAGAAGCGAAAGUGACGGUACCUGCAGAAAAAGCGCCGGCUAACUACGUGCCAGCAGCCGCGGUAAUACGUAGGGCGCAAGCGUUAUCCGGAAUUAUUGGGCGUAAAGAGCUCGUAGGCGGUUUGUCGCGUCUGCUGUGAAAUCCGGAGGCUCAACCUCCGGCCUGCAGUGGGUACGGGCAGACUAGAGUGCGGUAGGGGAGAUUGGAAUUCCUGGUGUAGCGGUGGAAUGCGCAGAUAUCAGGAGGAACACCGAUGGCGAAGGCAGAUCUCUGGGCCGUAACUGACGCUGAGGAGCGAAAGGGUGGGGAGCAAACAGGCUUAGAUACCCUGGUAGUCCACCCCGUAAACGUUGGGAACUAGUUGUGGGG
rnacentral:rRNA from 1 species